CACGCCGGCGCUUGGCGUGGCGGCGUGGCGGCGGCGGCGUGGUGACGGCGGCGGCGGCGUGGCGUUGCAUGCGGCGGCGGCGUUGCGCGGCGGCGAAGGCAGCGGCGUGGCGUGGCGGCGGCGGCGUUGCGCGCGCGGCGGCGAAGGCGGCGGCGGGGCGUGCCGAUGGCGGCGUGGCGCGGCGUCGGCGUGGCACGGCGUCUCAUGGCGGGCGGCCGACGGAGAGAGAGAUCGAGAUCGGAGAUCGUUGAAGGGAGAGGCGGCGGCGGCUCUCACCCCAGAGAUGCGGCGGCGGCGGAGGAGGCGGAGGCGGCGGCGAGGACGACGAGC
rnacentral:sRNA from 1 species